UGCGCCCAAAUGUUCUUUAAAGAUGUCAUUUUUUUGAUGCUUGUUGGUGUCCCACUGCUACUUUGCUAUUUGUCUAAUUAAAGAUCUUCUCUUGCAUCUCUUCAUGUAGCUUCUUUAUCUCCUUAAUAUGUGUUCAUCAGCAUCUCCACUAAAUUGUUAUGUUGAUGAUAGAGUUGCAAGGUCCAAUAGGCUCAAAGGAUA
rnacentral:lncRNA from 1 species